CCUACGGGUGGCUGCAGUCGAGAAUCAUUCACAAUGGGGGAAACCCUGAUGGUGCGACGCCGCGUGGGGGAAUGAAGGUCUUCGGAUUGUAAACCCCUGUCAUGUGGGAGCAAAUUAAAAAGAUAGUACCACAAGAGGAAGAGACGGCUAACUCUGUGCGAGCAGCCGCGGUAAUACAGAGGUCUCAAGCGUUGUUCGGAAUCACUGGGCGUAAAGCGUGCGUAGGCUGUUUCGUAACUCGUGUGUGAAAGGCAAGGGCGCAACCCGCGGAUGGCACAUGUUACUGCGAGACUAGAGUAAUGGGGGGGGAACCGGAAUUCUGGGUGUAGCAGUGAAAUGCUUAGAUAUCG
rnacentral:rRNA from 1 species